CUUGAUAAACUUAUAAGAGGUCCAGCCUGCCCAGUGACUCUGUUCAACGGCCGCGGUAUCCUAACCGUGCGAAGGUAGCGUAAUCACUUGUUCUUUAAAUGAGGACUAGUAUGAAUGGCACCACGAAGGUUAUACUGUCUCCUUUUUCUAAUCAGUGAAACUAAUCUUCCCGUGAAGAAGCGGGAAUAAAAAUAUAAGACGAGAAGACCCUAUGGAGCUUUAAACAAAUAUACACCUGCCUACGCACCAAAAAUUUCAGAAGAUAAAUAAUUACCCAGGCAUUUUGAUAUAGAGUUUUAGGUUGGGGUGACCACGGAGCAAAAAACAACCUCCGCAAUGAACGGGAAUACUCCCUAAACCAAGGGCCACAACCCCAAGUAUUGAUAAAUCAACACCAAUUGACCCAAUAAGUUUGAUCAAUGAAC
rnacentral:rRNA from 1 species